UCCCCUAGUAACUGCGAGUGAAGCGGGAAAAGCUCAAAUUUAAAAUCUGGCGGUCUUUGGCCGUCCGAGUUGUAAUUUAGAGAAGCGUCUUCCGCGCCGGACCGUGCACAAGUCUCCUGGAAUGGAGCGUCAUAGAGGGUGAGAAUCCCGUCUUUGGCACGGAUGCCUGGUGCUUCUGUGAUGCGCUCUCGAAGAGUCGAGUUGUUUGGGAAUGCAGCUCAAAAUGGGUGGUGAACUCCAUCUAAAGCUAAAUAUUGGCGAGAGACCGAUAGCGAACAAGUACCGUGAGGGAAAGAUGAAAAGCACUUUGGAAAGAGAGUGAAACAGUACGUGAAAUUGUUGAAAGGGAAACGCUUGAAGUCAGUCGCGUCGACCGAGACUCAGCCUUGCCUCGGCUUGGUGUACUUCUCGGCCCGACGGGUCAGCGUCAAUUUUGCCCCUCGGAUAAUGGCAAGGGAAAGGUGGCACCUUUACGGGUGUGUUAUAGUCUCCUGUCGCAUGCGAGGGAUGGGAUUGAGGAACUCAGCGCGCACCUUGGUGUCGGGGCUUCGGCCCACGUCACGCGCUUAGGAUGCUGGCGUAAUGGCUUUAAACGACCCGUCUUGAAACACGGACCAAGGAGUCCAACACGCCCGCGAGUGUUCGGGUGGAAAACCCGUGCGCGUAAUGAAAGUGAAAGUUGGGACCUCUGUCGUGGAGGGCACCGACGCCCGGACCAGACCUUCUGUGACGGAUCUGCGGUAGAGCGUGUGUGUUGGGACCCGAAAGAUGGUGAACUAUGCCUGAAUAGGGUGAAGCCAGAGGAAACUCUGGUGGAGGCUCGUAGCGAUUCUGACGUGCAAAUCGAUCGUCAAAUUUGGGUAUAGGGGCGAAAGACUAAUCGA
rnacentral:rRNA from 1 species